UUCAAUCAGAAGUCAGAUGAGUCUUGAUGGUUUGUUUCAUUCUUUCUUAUAAGAUCAUACAUUAAGAUUGGCAAAGAGAACAUAGUGCUCUGGCCUGUGUUGCUGUGUUCCCCACAGUCUUAGUUCUCUGGUUCCCGCUGCCAAUCUCUGGAUCACACCUCUGUGGUUGGCUUCAUCUUUAAACUGGAUUUCCUCAUGGACACAAUUACUUGAGAAACAGAAGAAGUGUCACACCAGCAUGUAAAGUACAUCAGAAGCAAUCAUGAGGAGAUUGAGAAGACAGAAGUUUCACAGUUUUUUUAUAGCCUAGCAGUUGUAGUCCAUCACAUAUACGUCAAAAUAAAAAGCUAAUCCUCAAGUAAGAGAAUUUGAUAUCGUUUAUUGUUUAAAGCUCCUUUGCAUGCUCCAAUCUUACAUAUACAAUAGAAAUUCUGUGUACUUAACUCUUUUUAUAU